rnacentral:rRNA from 1 species
UACGGAGGGGGCUAGCGUUGUUCGGAAUUACUGGGCGUAAAGCGCACGUAGGCGGCUUUGCAAGUCAGAGGUGAAAGCCCGGGGCUCAACCCCGGAAUAGCCUUUGAGACUGCAUCGCUAGAAUUGUGGAGAGGUAAGUGGAAUUCCGAGUGUAGAGGUGAAAUUCGUAGAUAUUCGGAAGAACACCAGUGGCGAAGGCGGCUCACUGGACUGGUAUUGACGCUGAGGUGCGAAAGCGUGGGGAGCAAACAGG